GAUGAAGAACGCAGCGAAAUGCGAUAAGUAAUGUGAAUUGCAGAAUUCAGUGAAUCAUCGAAGCUUUGAACGCACAUUGCGCCCGCCAGUAUUCUGGCGGGCAUGCCUGUUCGAGCGUCAUUACAACCCUCAGGCCCCCGGGCCUGGCGUUGGGGAUCGGCGGAAGCCCCCUGCGGGCACAACGCCGUCCCCCAAAUACAGUGGCGGUCCCGCCGCAGCUUCCAUUGCGUAGUAGCUAACACCUCGCAACUGGAGAGCGGCGCGGCCACGCCGUAAAACACCCAACUUCUGAAUGUUGACCUCGAAUCAGGUAGGAAUACCCGCUGAACUUAAGCAUAUCAAUAAGCGGAGGA
rnacentral:misc_RNA from 1 species